UACAAUCUUCAGUAAUCUAUAAACCCUGUCAGAUCACACAUCCCCUCCCUUUCCCUGCUCUUACGUUAUAUGGUUCCUUCUCCCACUUACCUCUACAGUUUGUCAGUCUCUUUCUCUCUCUCUCCCCCACCCCCCUUUUGCACUCUGCCCAACUUCCAUUGUCGGGCAUACAAAAUAUUUUGCUGUCGUUGAUAAAAUAACAGGUAUUUCCCUUACACUAACAUAUUUUAUCAGUUCCAGCAAGAUAUUUUUAAAAUCCUUUCUUAAGCCUGUAAUAUGAAAUUUCACAAGUAACCUCAGCAGUCUUGUCCCAAUAUUUAGAAACAUUAGGGAAACCACAUCAAAAAUGCAAAAAGAAAAAUACUUGGCACUAAGCAAGACACAAUUCCUCUGGUUAUAGUAUUUACCUUGUGUAUUCUGUCUUAGUUUUUGUAGCUUCAUACCCAUCUCUCUUCGUGGAUUGGGUUUUCAUUACAUUUAGACAUGGAUAAUGGCAGAAUUUUUCCCUGUUCUAAAACAUGCCCAACUAUUUCAUGAUACUGCUGUUGAAAGUUACCAAAAUCAUUUCAAUUGAUGGAUACGCUAUAAAUCUGGGAUAUGAUAUCCUUUGGAUUUUCUUCUGUCAGUGAUUUCUCCAUUUCAAAUACUUGUCCAUUUUGUUGUAAUCAACCCCAUUACAGAGUACCAAAUUCAGUAAUAUUGAUGCAAAUCUUCAACCCAGCGUUCUCCAACUCGUGCCUUCCAGGUGUUGGAGAAGGCUGCUGUGUAACCUGACAUUCUUUGAACAACUUCUAAGACAGGAACGCUGCUGUUCUCAAAUUGGAGCUAGAAAUCUAAAUAUAACCUAUGUUGUGUCCAACUCUGAAAACUUUUUAGAGACCUUAUUGUGCAGGAUAGAUUCCAAUGGAGAAUUGUCUGGACAAAGUAUUUGGAACUAAGUUACUGUUGCGUAAUACCUGGGCUUUCUCAAUGAGUCUUGAAACAAAAUUAAAGAAAAAUAAUUGGCA